UUUCAAGUUGUUAAAAAAACACAUAGACGGUGAAAAAGGAGUAAAUGGUAAAAAUGAAAGGAUAAACAGGUUUAAAAAUGAUAAAUGGAUAAACAGUACUAAACGGUUACGGUUAAAUGGGUACACGGUUAUGAGUAUGGUUAACCGUUUAUAAACGAUUAUGGGUAUAGGUAUAGGUAUAACCGUUUAGACAAUUACCCAACAGGUAAACGAUUAUGCGGAUAUGAGAAUAAACGAUUAUGGAUAAAUAACCGCAGUUACCCACCCGCCAUAACUGCUGCCCAUCCCUAAACACUCCACACCUCCAAUAAAA
rnacentral:lncRNA from 1 species